CAGGUUGCUGGCUUCGGUAAACAGCCUCACUAGAAAGGUCACCCCUGAGCUGAGGGAUUUUUCUUGUCUCUCACCGCAGGUUUCUGGACAGAGGGGUCUGGUUUACCGAGAACUUGCUCCACUAACAAUGCGGAGCCCUGAGCUGCGGGUGUCAUAGAGCAAGCAUGGAGAGAGGCAAGGCUUCAUCAGCUUCACGCUUGCCAAAGCUCCUGUCUACGGAACUUAAAGGGUUCGAAAACAUGGGAGGUGAAAUGUCACUCAAGUGAAUUAAGAGAGUUCAACUAUCCCAGACCAGCGUGAGUGACUGAACUGGAGGCCAUGGCAGCUGCAGAGAUCACAGGAAACCCGAUUCCCAGCUCCUUCCGAUGAUGUUUUUUUCCUUCAUCUUUACUGUUGUACCAUUGUCUUCCCUCUGGAUGUGCUUCCCGCUUCCUCUAACACAGGCUGCCAGCCACAUGUUGGUUUCUCUUCUGUCUGAUGAGAACAAUGGGAUUGUGUUUGAGCACAUCCGGGUAAUCUAAGAUAAUGUUCGUAACUUUGGAGCCAACAAUGUAUCACACCUGCCUCCCUGUUAUUUAUGUCCAUAGCUAUAGGUUUCAGAGUUCAGGGUCCAAUAAAUUUAGGAGACACUUUUUA